UUUUAGCCCCGAUUGCAGCGGCAUCCUUUUGCGUAACGCAGUGAAGCAAAAGAUACAGCGGAAAGCGGGACGGGUU
rnacentral:sRNA from 1 species